GCCGGGCGCGGUGGCUCACGCCUGUAAUCCCAGCACUUUGGGAGGCCGAGGCGGGCGGAUCACAAGGUCAGGAGAUCGAGACCAUGGUGAAACCCCNGGGGUUUCACCAUGGUCUCGAUCUCCUGACCUUGUGAUCCGCCCGCCUCGG
rnacentral:SRP_RNA from 1 species